ACGCUCGACACCUACGGGAGGCAGCAGUGGGGGAUAUUGCACAAUGGGGGAAACCCUGAUGCAGCAACGCCGCGUGAGGGAAGAAGGUUUUCGGAUUGUAAACCUCUGUCCUUGGUGACGAUAAUGACGGUAGCCAAGGAGGAAGCUCCGGCUAACUACGUGCCAGUAGCCGCGGUAAUCUGAGCGGGCUGGCAAGGC
rnacentral:rRNA from 1 species